UGGCCUACCAGUUCAACCCACAGCUGGUCCUGGUCACUGACAGCCUUGAUGCUGGUGCGGGGACCCACUUGGAGGUUGCUGCGUGAGUCCCGAUUGCUUUGGACAUAUGAUGGCCCUUCUGUCUGGCCUGGCCAAGGGCCGCAUGGUUCUGGCACUGGAGGGCGGCUUCAACCUCACCACCAUCAGCUGCUGCAUGACGCUGUGUGCCAAGGCCUUGCUGGGGGACCCGCUGCCCCCCCCUUGAGCCCCAGCUGGUGCCCAACAAGAGUGCCGUGCAGACCAUCAAUGACGUCAUCCGUACCCACAGCCGCUACUGGCUGGCGCUCUGCUUCACGAAAGAAGAAGAAGAAAAGAAGAGAAGGAGAGGGUAUAUGUCUGUGUGUGUGUUAUAUGGACAAAAUUUAAACUGAUUUCUUUCAACAUAUAUUUUAUUAUUAUUAUUGAAAGACAAACUUUUCUUCUUCACUUCCUCCUUCUUCUUCUUCUCUUUCAUCUUCUUCUUCUUCAUC